rnacentral:lncRNA from 1 species
GCAGAAGUCCCCGCAUUCACGGAGCUGGCGUUUUAUUAGGGGAGACAGACCAUCAGUAAGUCAUCUGCUAGGUGGCAUCAUGCCACGUAAUGACAAAAGCUCUGGGGAGAAAAACAGGGGCGGACUCUGCUCUCCCUCCCCAGAGCAACCACAGCGUGAGACAGCAGACUUGGAGGGGGGACAGGAAGUGGUGGAAAAAGUGACUCACUGCUGGUCCUGGCACGGUCCCCCCACUGCCACUCCACCUUCCGUGUGACGGCGGAAGCCCACACUCCGCCAUGGACCCAGGCCUCGUCUUUCCCUCCCCACAGCUCCAAGUCAGGGAAAGCCAGCCCGCCUGCUCGCACCCGGGCUGGGUUUCUUCCUGGCGUGUGUUCUGGACCCAGAGUGCGGGGCCUGACGGACACCGCGCCACCAUCGCCAGAUGGCUUCCCCGCAGCUCUCCCCCCAGCCCGCCUGGCGGGCCACCCCCAGAGCUCCGUGUGCUUCAGGCUCCAGAAAUGUUUAUUUUUGCAUCUGCCAGUUCACAAGGCAAUUACUGGUAACUGAAUCCACAGCCCAGGAAAUCUGACUUCACUGGGACGCCGAAGCCCAGGAAGGGAGACACUUCUGCGCCCUGGGCUGACCACAGACACCACGGAGGGGAGCUCUGCACCGUGGCCGCGGGUGACAUCACUGCGGCUUGUGUCCGAGACGUGACGUGAGGGCAACCCCCGAGGAGGCUGGACCUGGCGUGUCUCUGGGAGGGUCCCUGCCGGCUGCCCACCGAAAGCCAGGCGCUUCUAUUUCUGGCAUCGAGCGAAGAUGGAUUUGGUGGUUGUGGAAAGGAAUUGGCUGUUAAUGGACUUGCCAUGAACCAAGAUCAGUGUCCAAUUCUAUGGACUUUGGCGUGAAGGGGUUUCAGGUUAAAGAUUUAUAAAUGCAUAAAAUACACCGAACAUAACUUGGUGGAGCCAUGGCUAGCACACCAGACGAGCGUGUAACCAAGGAAACGUGGAAAAAUUUCCACACCCCUCUGAGCAAAGAGUAUUUCAGCUCUGUUCUUUAAACACACACACACACACACACACACACACACACACACACACACACACAGAGCCAGUUCCCCUGAAACCUUUCUAAAAUGCUUUCAGCAGAGGCACGAAAGCUAAGGCACAGAACUCAAAACGGAAGACUUCAAGUCUCUUUCCUGGGCACUUCCGUUUCCCAAGGAGUUGGCAAGGAUUUCGAGGUCCUAACUGGCCAGAGAGGGACCAGAGGGACAGUUUAGAGGUGUGGGCUACGUUGGGCGGUAGGUCAGCCCCUGGGUACAGAACCGGAGGCCUGCGUUCAAAUCUGGCCUCUGCGCCUUUGUAUUUAUUUGGGUCAUGGGGGAAGGUUCCAUCUUACUUCCUUCUAGAAAAUGGAGAAAAGCCACAUUCAUGGCUUUUCAUGUGUGUUUCUGGGAGGCCGGAGUAACUGCCCUGUAAGUGAGCUCAGCACAGGACUGAGCGGUUACACAUCAGCUCACAUGAAGAAAAUCUUUAAUCUGCUCUCACUUCCUCUAUCUCAUGGCUCAGAGCAUCCUGUCCCAGUGUCCCGACCCUGGAGACGCUGGGCCUGAGAGGAAGUGUCUGCAGGGACGGCUCUGAAGUCCAGAGUCUUGGGCCUGAGUUCAAGUUUCUUACUGCAGCAGGAGCCUCACCUCUCUGAGCAUCAAGUUCCUUGUCUGUCGCAUGGCGAGGAUAGUAUCCACCCCAGUCCAUGGCCGAGAUGGGUAUCUAACGCGUUAUUGCCUAGCCAAACAUGAAAUCAUGCCUCGGGGGCGUGAGAAAGCCAAUGCUGGAAUUUGUCCUAAUAAGGUUUUGUACGGGAACCAGCCUGCUCCCCCGACCCCCCGCCCCACCAGCUCUGACCCGGUGGCAGCCAGUCAAGCUGAGCCAGAGGUCUGCCUCCCACGAUGGCAGCCCUGAUAAUUAUAGGGAAGUUGGGCUAGGUCUCUCUGCAGAUGGAACUACAGAGAAGCUGGGCUUUAGAAGAUGCUUCCAAUCCAUGACAGCCCAUCAGCACAUCUGAUGAGAUGACAGCUUUUUCCAGGGGUUUCUAUUCUCUCCCCCCAGCCCCAGCCCCUCAAGGGCGUCAACCUCAGCACUACAGGCUGGGAGGCUGUCCUGUGCACCCUGGGAUGUUGAGCUGCAACCCUGACCUCCAGCCACUAGAUGCCAGCAGCACCUCCUGAAUCACAACAAUCAAUCCCACAGUUGCCUUUCCGCUUUAUAGAACACAUGGUCCUGUACGUAAAAGAUACGUAAAUGCUUUUCAUGCUUAAAACUUCAUGUGAAUAAAUUUUACAUACAUAAAUAAAAUACUAUGCAUUUUUUCAUUCUAAAAUGAUAGUUUGAGAUCUGUCUGUGUUAAUAAAUGUAGCUGUGGUUCAUUUUCACUGCAAAUAUGUCACACGGUAUUUCUUCAUCCUCCUACCAAUAAACACUUGGAUAAUUUCCUG